rnacentral:tRNA from 1 species
GGCAGUGCAGCCUAGUGGAUAGAGCACUAGACUGGGACUCAGGUGACCUGGGUUCUGUCCCAGCUCUGCCC